rnacentral:misc_RNA from 1 species
CAGAGACAUCGCACCUCGUGUGCAAAUCUCCACCCUAUGUUUACAUACCCUUGUUGCUUUGGCGGGCCGUCGUCAGACCGCCGGCUCCGGCCGACGUGUGCCCGCCAGAGGACAUCCAACUCUUGUUUUUAGUGUUGUCUGAGCAAAUAUUCAAUUAAGA